UUUGGGGAGCGGAGCUUAAAUGCAUGUGAACGAGAAGGGAUUGCUUGCAAUCCUGAGUACAGUGGCGCACCGUUGAGUAACACGUAGAUAAUCUGCCUUCAAGCCCGGGAUAACUAUUCGAAAGGGUAGCUAAUACCGGAUAAAGUCGGUUUACAUAAGUAAACUGAUGAAAGAUUGCCUCUUCUUGAAAGCAAUUGUUUGGGGAUGAGUCUGCGUACCAUUAGCUUGUUGGUGGGGUAAAGGCCUACCAAGGCGACGAUGGUUACCUGGCCUGAGAGGAUGAUCAGCCACACUGGAACUGGAACACGGUCCAGACUCCUACGGGAGGCACCAUUGAGGAAUUUUGCGCAAUGGGGGAAACCCUGACGCAUCAACCCCGCGUGAGCGAAAAAGGCCUUUGGGUCAUAAAUCUCUGUCAACUGGGAAGAAUUUCACAGUAAUUAAUAGUUGUUGUUAUUGACGGUACCACUGGAGGAAGCGCCGGCUAACUCCGCGCCAGUAGCCCCGGAAACACGGGGGGCGCAAGUUUUAUUCGGAAUUAUUGGGCGUAAAGGGCGCGUAGGCGAUCUUGUCGGCCAAGUGUAAAAGCUCGGGGCUCAUCUUCGGAAGUGCACUUGAAACACCAAGACUUGCAUACGGGAGAGGAGAGAGGAAUCCCCGGCGCAAAGGUGAAAUUCGUACAUAACAGGAGGGAACCCGAUGUGAAAAGCCCCUCUCUGGAACGAUAUUGACCCUGAAGCGCUAAGGCCUGGUUUACCUAACGGUAUUAUAUACCCCCGGUACCCCCCGCCCCAAAUCUAUUCCCACUCGGUGCGGCGGAA
rnacentral:rRNA from 1 species